GUCGCAAGACCAAAGUGGGGGACCUUCGGGCCUCAUGCCAUCAGAUGUGCCCAGAUGGGAUUAGCUAGUAGGUGGGGUAACGGCUCACCUAGGCGACGAUCCCUAGCUGGUCUGAGAGGAUGACCAGCCACACUGGAACUGAGACACGGUCCAGACUCCUACGGGAGGCAGCAGUGGGGAAUAUUGCACAAUGGGCGCAAGCCUGAUGCAGCCAUGCCGCGUGUGUGAAGAAGGCCUUCGGGUUGUAAAGCACUUUCAGCGGGGAGGAAGGCGGUGAGGUUAAUAACCUCAUCGAUUGACGUUACCCGCAGAAGAAGCACCGGCUAACUCCGUGCCAGCAGCCGCGGUAAUACGGAGGGUGCAAGCGUUAAUCGGAAUUACUGGGCGUAAAGCGCACGCAGGCGGUCUGUCAAGUCGGAUGUGAAAUCCCCGGGCUCAACCUGGGAACUGCAUUCGAAACUGGCAGGCUAGAGUCUUGUAGAGGGGGGUAGAAUUCCAGGUGUAGCGGUGAAAUGCGUAGAGAUCUGGAGGAAUACCGGUGGCGAAGGCGGCCCCCUGGACAAAGACUGACGCUCAGGUGCGAAAGCGUGGGGAGCAAACAGGAUUAGAUACCCUGGUAGUCCACGCCGUAAACGAUGUCGAUUUGGAGGUUGUGCCCUUGAGGCGUGGCUUCCGGAGCUAACGCGUUAAAUCGACCGCCUGGGGAGUACGGCCGCAAGGUUAAAACUCAAAUGAAUUGACGGGGGCCCGCACAAGCGGUGGAGCAUGUGGUUUAAUUCGAUGCAACGCGAAGAACCUUACCUGGUCUUGACAUCCACAGAACUUUCCAGAGAUGGAUUGGUGCCUUCGGGAACUGUGAGACAGGUGCUGCAUGGCUGUCGUCAGCUCGUGUUGUGAAAUGUUGGGUUAAGUCCCGCAACGAGCGCAACCCUUAUCCUUUGUUGCCAGCGGU
rnacentral:rRNA from 1 species